UUGCUUUUGAUGUGAUUUUAGGGAUUGAUUGCUUAACUACUCAUCAUGCCAAAAUUAAUUGUUUUCGUAAGGUUGUUAGCUUUCAUAUUUCUAAAUAACCUGUUGUACGAAUUCAAGCAACUAAACCAUAAAAAUCAGUCACUAUCAUAUCUAAUCAUAAAGCUAUUCGUUUAUUGAAAAACGGAUGUCAAGCUUUCUUAGCCCAUGUUAUGGAUUUGAAUAAAG
rnacentral:lncRNA from 1 species